GGGCGAUUAGCUCAGUUGGUAGAGCAGUUGACUCUUAAUCAAUUUGUCCGGGGUUCGAUUCCCCGAUCGCCCACCA
rnacentral:tRNA from 1 species